rnacentral:rRNA from 1 species
ACGAACGCUGGCGGCGUGCUUAACACAUGCAAGUCGAACGGAAAGGCCCUGCUUUUGUGGGGUGCUCGAGUGGCGAACGGGUGAGUAACACGUGAGUAACCUGCCCUUGACUUUGGGAUAACUUCAGGAAACUGGGGCUAAUACCGGAUAGGAGCUCCUGCUGCAUGGUGGGGGUUGGAAAGUUUCGGCGGUUGGGGAUGGACUCGCGGCUUAUCAGCUUGUUGGUGGGGUAGUGGCUUACCAAGGCUUUGACGGGUAGCCGGCCCGAGAGGGUGACCGGCCACAUUGGGACUGAGAUACGGCCCAGACUCCUACGGGAGGCAGCAGUGGGGAAUAUCGCACAAUGGGCGGAAGCCUGAUGCAGCAACGCCGCGUGCGGGAUGACGGCCUUCGGGUUGUAAACCGCUUUCGCCUGUGACGAAGCGUGAGUGACGGUAAUGGGUAAAGAAGCACCGGCUAACUACGUG